CUGCAAAAGAAGUUGAGGAGAAGGAUCCUGAGAAUAAGGUGAAGUAAUUCACACAUUAAUCUUGAUUCAAUUAUUUAAAUGGCAGUUUCUACUUUCGACUUCUUUCAUGGGCUACCAUUUAAUCGUUCAUCAUUUAGAAAUCUUUGAUGCUGAUAAAGGGUCCUAGAUAUGUUGCAGCCAAACACACAAUUAGCCUUCUUAGUUACCUCCGGUACAAACUUUUUGCAAUUUAAAUGAGGAACUCAGUGGCAGGCAGAUUAAGAAUGUCUCAAAACAUAGCAUAUGCAUUUGAUCAGUGUCCAGGCGAUUGAGUCCAUCACAUGCAUCUCUUUUUGUUUUUGG
rnacentral:lncRNA from 1 species